GAAAAACAUUUUAAUGUUAAUAUUUCGGAUGAAACUGGACUUUGAAUAAUAAAAAAUAAAUUAACAAACGAGGAAAAGGAGAACUAACAUCAUAGCCAUAGAGAUCUGCUAGCGAUCGUUCUCGACGUUCUUCAUGUUCGCCA